UGGGAGGGGGUGGGGGAGUACAAGGUCCCCACCAUGUGGCCGGGGGGGCGGUGCCUUUGCCCUGGGCCAGACGCCGUCUGUCUGUCCAUGCGUCCACCAUGGGCGCCCGUGCCCGCCUCUGCCUUCUGCUGGUCCUGGGAGCCGUGGCCUGGUGAGCUCCGAAGACCUGGGGGGGGGAGCUGGCGGGGGAGGGACCCAGGGGUCCGGGGUGCUGAGAGAUGCCCUUUACCGGGAUCCAGCGAGCCCUCAGGACCUGCCCCAUCCCCCAUGGAUCGGGGGUCCCAACCCAGCCCUGACCUCUGACCCUCUUCUCUGCAGGGCAGAUCUGAUCCCUGGUGCUGAGACCCCAACAGGGCCCGGGGUGAAUCCCACGACCUCCAGCACCACGGCAACCAUCCCUGGAUCCUGGUUCCGGGGGAGGCCCCUGCGUCGUGUGGGGCGGGCAGCACAUCCGCACCUGCGACGGUGCUGACAUGAGCUUCUGGGGAACCUGCCUCUAUGUCCUGGCCCAGCCCCAGCAGCCUGCGCCUGG